GGACGGGGGCCCGCACAAGCGGUGGAGCAUGUGGCUUAAUUCGACGCAACGCGAAGACCUUACCAGGGCUUGACAUCCCCUGACCGUCUAUGAAAGUAGGCUUUCUGCCUUCGGGUAGACAGGGAGACAGGUGGUGCAUGGUUGUCGUCAGCUCGUGUCGUGAGAUGUUGGGUUAAGUCCCGCAACGAGCGCAACCCUUACGGUUAGUUGCCAGCGGGUUAUGCCGGGCACUCUAGCUGAACUGCCGUUGACAAACGGAGGAAGUGGGAUGACGUCAAAUCAUCAUGCCCUUUAUGUCCUGGGCUACACACGUGCUACAAUGGCCUGUACAGAGGGAAGCGAAAGGGUGACCCGGAGCGAAUCCCAAAAAGCAGGUCUCAGUUCGGAUUGCAGGCUGCAACCCGCCUGCAUGAAGUCGGAAUCGCUAGUAAUCGCAGGUCAGCAUACUGCGGUGAAUACGUUCCCGGGCCUU
rnacentral:rRNA from 1 species